CAUAUUGAUUUCCCUGUAGUGAACCAAACGCGGGAUCCAUUUACAAUAUUUCGGGUCAUUUGUGUAUCCCGUAUUUAAAUCAUCUAACCCGACCUUUCAUUAGCAUACUAGGGUUUCCAACAUUCAGCGUCUUCUCCAAGCUUCCUGUCAUUCUUCUCCAUCCUUCCUCUCUCAAUCUCAAACAUCUGAUAAAAGGUAAAUCGAAUAAGUUCUUUUGUUGAUCCAACAAAAUAACGGAUCAUGAUCACUCUUCAUAUCACCAACUAGGGUUUCACAUAAAUCGCUCUCGCGUUCUUCUCUGCCGACCUAGGGUUUCUCUUCCUCUCUUUUCUCUGAUUCUUUUUCAUGAUUCCCAAAAUUGAGGACUUGCAAAUCGUGAAUGAGAUCUGCCUCUAAACGAAGGGCAUUGGAAUUACAUCAAUAUCAAGGCUAAUAAAACCCUGGGAUUUUAUGGAUUUUGAUCUCAUUUUUUUGCCAUUGUCAAGCAAAACAAAGGUGCAGUGCGAGUUAGGUCUGUGAAAUUUUACUCAUAAAUUUAAGCAUCAAUUUGUUAUUAGAGAAGGCUUGCAUUUUGCUUUAUUUCAUUUAUGGAAACAAGCUUUGUGAUGACAAAGUUCCUGAUCGAAUUCACCGUACAUAUACUAUUUGGUAAUUUCAACCCAUUUUGAUAUGUUAUAUGUCCAGACUAUCACUUCUGAUCUUAGACUAAAUAUAUAUCAAACCGGUUGAAACAAUGUGUUGAGCCAGCGAGAAAGGAAUCAAGGUUUUUCCUUUUAACUAAUUGAUUUUGGGCUUUAUGUGUUCUUCAAGCCAGGUAUUUUAAUAUGUACCUUUUAUCCCAUAUGUUUACAUUUGCUUUUAAACUGAUUAUUGAGACUUUAAGAAUCAUAAAUUGAUAGCUGGGUGUUUAAUUGAACAAAGCAGGUUCGUUUUCUAGACAAAAAUGGAGAAAGAAAGUAGGGUCACUUCGGAAAUGGAAAAGUCAACAUGAAAUUCAUGUUCAACUAUGGACCGUGGUAUGGAUCCAUGGAAAUUCAAAAGUGAAUUGAAUUUUGGAAAUAAAAAAAUAAAGAUGGGAGAGACUAAAGAAAGAGAUAUCAGUUGUAUGAAAAAAAUGAGGUAUGGGUUUGUAUUUAUAAAUAAAAGUGGUGGCGGUUUGGUAUAGGCUGGCACCUAAGAAUCGGUAUCCGGCUGCGUGAAAGUGUUGCAUUAAUGCAUUGGUUGGCGAAACCGGCGAAGUUGGCGGAGUUGGGGAGGAAGGUUGAAUUGCAAUGAUGGUAAACCACCUGUGGUUUGAUCAAGAUCAACCUACAGAUGCUCAGUUUUCUACAAAUAACGUUAUUAUCAAACACUAGAAUUCAAAGGCAACAAGUUAAAGAUUCUGUGUGUUUACUUGCAACUCCAGCUGCGCGAGUUGAUAAACAAAUCCUAACAACAGUUCAUUUAAACUAUUGUUAACGAUUCCAAUGGCGUUUUUUUACCAGAUAUACCCAUCGCAAACUCACUAUCAUUUCCCACAUCCGGCGCUUGAUCAACAUUUUUUGGUCUAUUAUAUGCCGACUAGGCAGUCGGCCCAAGGUUAUAACUUACCAUUGCAGGCUGAUGCCUCCUAUGCUGUUUCCGCCCCUCCUAAUCAUCAAGUCCCGCCGCCUUAUGGUUUGAUCACUGCACCGCAGGUUGUCCAAUCCACCACAAACACUGAAGCACCAGCAGGCGUGUAUAGAUCUUAAGAAAUUAUGUUUUUAGAUUUACAUUUCGAGUUUUACAGAUGAUGAUACGAGGAACUCUGCUCUUGCUAAGGAAAUGGCUGCUCAUUCUUAAUGUUUUUGUUAUGGGCGAAGUGGUAAAAAUAUAUCUAUCAAAGGGUAGGAGAAUACCAGUGUGCAUAAAAGCAAAAAUGUCCACUUCUGCCGAAAAAGGGUCUCCUUCGCCACUAAAACAGGUCGGUUUUCAAGUUCUUAAAUUAUGCGGUGAUUGCAUAGGUUUGGUCCAGCGAGUCUGUGUUGUCAUUGAACAGACGUUCUUUUGUCCAUUUAUAAAUAAUUGUUCUUUUGUCCAUUUAUAAGUAAUUGUAGGUUGAAUUCACUACGCACUUCGGGCAACUUCAAACCGUUUGACCCAUUUAACCAGUUUUCUUUACCACUUUAUUUUUUUUUCUUUUUUAGUUCUACACAUAAAUUAUCUAUUUGUUUCACUUCUACCAUAAAGUAAUUGGUAAUUCUAUAGGUACUUGCUAUAUAUAGUCGAUAAAGCUAUUAUUACUGUACAUUUAUAGUUAUCAUAUCCUAAAAGUAAUGUUUUCAUCAAUGAACUUCUACUUAGCAUCGUGUAAGAAGUUGUCUUGAAAAUAUUGAUGUUUAGAUUUUUAAAAUAGGUUCCCUCUUCUUUUUGUUGCUUAGAAGCACAAAAAUGUAUUUGUUAUGAUUCCAGUAUACUUACUAAUUGAAUGCAAGAUUGCAUUUUGUUUGUCACAGGUCCAUCCCGAUUGACUAGCGUAGCCCGAGUACAUCACUUCCUAUAGUGGAAUUGUAGGGAAGCGUCAGAUGCAGGUCACAUCUGUUGGUAACAUCUACACCGAAUGAGUUGGCUUCAAAUUCAGUUACAUAGGGCUGUUGAUGCUUGCAAGAAUGUCCUAAGAGGCUUGCAUAGUGAAAAGAUGGCAGAUCAUGAAUUGGAUUCGGUUCGUUAUUUUCUUUUAAAGGGCAAAAUGGGUAAAAAGGACGAGUUAAUUAGGAAACACUCAAAUGGGUUGAUUGGGUGAAAGUGGCUCAAACUGUAUUUUGAACACAACCUUCUAAAUCAUGUCUUUCAAAAUUAUUUGAAAUAAUAUACUAUUAGUUUUUGUAACCAUGCUCAACACACUAUUGGAUUGUUGAGGUAUAAGUAUAACUCUGUUUAUUGACAUGCCAAACUAGCUCUGCUGAUGAAACACGAAACAUUAACCAUAUCAAAUGCUGACUAGCUUUGGUUGUAGGCUAUUUGUAGGCUGUUUUUAUUCAUAGGAGGUAACAUUAGACUGAAUUGACAAUUUUAUGAAGUUGUUGAACAGACCAUUGUACCCUUUUCGAGUUGAAUUAGCAUAAUAGUUUAGUUUUU